CAAGUCGAACGAGAAAGUGGAGCAAUCCAUGAGUAAAGUGGCGACCGGGUGAGUAACACGUGACUAACCUACCCUCGAGUGGGGAAUAACCUCGGGAAACCGAGGCUAAUACCGCAUAACACCGCAAGAUCAAAGCAGAAAUGCGCUUGAGGAGGGGGUCGCGGCUGAUUAGCUAGUUGGUAGGGUAAUGGCCUACCAAGGCUUAGAUCGGUAGCCGGCCUGAGAGGGCGCACGGCCACACUGGAACUGAAACACGGUCCAGACUCCUACGGGAGGCAACAGUGGGGAAUUUUGCGCAAUGGGGGAAACCCUGACGCAGCAACGCCGCGUGGAGGAUGAAGUCCCUUGGGACGUAAACUCCUUUCGACCGGGAAGAUACUGACGGUACCGGAUGAAGAAGCACCGGCUAACUCUGUGCCAGCAGCCGCGGUAAUACAGAGGGUGCGAGCGUUGUUCGGAAUUAUUGGGCGUAAAGGGCGCGUAGGCGGCGCGGUAUGUCACCUGUGAAAUCUCCUGGCUCAACUGGGAGCUUGCAGGCGAAACUGCCGUGCUGGAGUGUGGGAGAGGUGCGUGGAAUUCCCGGUGUAGCGGUGAAAUGCGUAGAUAUCGGGAGGAACACCUGUGGCGAAAGCGGCGCACUGGACCACAACUGACGCUGAGGCGCGAAAGCUAGGGGAGCAAACAGGAUUAGAUACCCUGGUAGUCCUAGCCCUAAACGAUGGAUGCUUGGUGUGAUCGGUACCCAAUCCGAUCGUGCCGCAGCUAACGCGAUAAGCAUCCCGCCUGGGGAGUACGGUCGCAAGGCUGAAACUCAAAGGAUUGACGGGGGCCCGCACAAGCGGUGGA
rnacentral:rRNA from 1 species